GAUGAACGCUGGCGGCGUGCCUAAUACAUGCAAGUCGAGCGAACGGACGAGAAGCUUGCUUCUCUGAUGUUAGCGGCGGACGGGUGAGUAACACGUGGAUAACCUACCUAUAAGACUGGGAUAACUUCGGGAAACCGGAGCUAAUACCGGAUAAUAUUUUGAACCGCAUGAUUCAAAAGUGAAAGACGGUCUUGCUGUCACUUAUAGAUGGAUCCGCGCUGCAUUAGCUAGUUGGUAAGGUAACGGCUUACCAAGGCAACGAUGCAUAGCCGACCUGAGAGGGUGAUCGGCCACACUGGAACUGAGACACGGUCCAGACUCCUACGGGAGGCAGCAGUAGGGAAUCUUCCGCAAUGGGCGAAAGCCUGACGGGGCAACGCCGCGUGAGUGAUGAAGGUCUUCGGAUCGUAAAACUCUGUUAUUAGGGAAGAACAUAUGUGUAAGUAACUGUGCACAUCUUGACGGUACCUAAUCAGAAAGCCACGGCUAACUACGUG
rnacentral:rRNA from 1 species